rnacentral:piRNA from 1 species
UGCUCUUGCUCCUCAGGUGGGUACCCAGU